GACGAACGCUGGCGGCGUGCCUAAUACAUGCAAGUCGAACGAACCGCGACUGAGUGCUUGCACUUGGUCAAGGUGAGUGGCGAACGGGUGAGUAACACGUGGGUAACCUACCUCAUAGUGGGGGAUAACAGUCGGAAACGACUGCUAAUACCGCAUAGGACAUGGAAUCACAUGAUUCUGUGAGGAAAGGUGGCGCAAGCUAUCGCUAAGAGAUGGACCCGCGGUGCACUAGCUAGUUGGUAGGGUAAGGGCCUACCAAGGCGAUGAUGCAUAGCCGACCUGAGAGGGUGAUCGGCCACAUUGGGACUGAGACACGGCCCAAACUCCUACGGGAGGCAGCAGUAGGGAAUCUUCCGCAAUGGACGCAAGUCUGACGGAGCAACGCCGCGUGAGUGAAGAAGGUCUUCGGAUCGUAAAGCUCUGUUGUUAGAGAAGAACAGCGCAUAGAGUAACUGUUAUGCGUGUGACGGUAUCUAACCAGAAAGCCACGGCUAACUACGUG
rnacentral:rRNA from 1 species